GUGUUCACUUGGGAGCACAUAGGCCAGAACUGGAAUGAAGAUUAGCAUGGCCCCUACACAAGGAUGACAUGCAAAUUGGUGAAGCAUCCCAUAUUUAA
rnacentral:snRNA from 1 species